GUCGUAACAAGGUUUCCGUAGGUGAACCUGCGGAAGGAUCAUUCGCACAUGUUCCAGCAUACUAUUGUUGAAUUGUUCUGUGAGAUUUGUGUGGGGGUGUCGAUUGCGUUUCCCCCCAUGUGAAUUCUCAUGGGUGGUAAGGUGCUCGGGGUGGUUCCGCACAUACCUGUUCAUUCUUACUGCCAAUGGUAACGCUGAGCGACUUGAUGUUAGCUGUUGUCGAGUGAAACUGUAGCGUUACGCUUACAACUUACAGCGAUGGAUGUCUCGGUUCGAACAACGAUGAAGGGCGCAGCGAAGUGCGAUAAGCAUUGUGAAUUGCAGAAUUCCGUGAACCGACAGGGACUUGAACGCGCAUUGUGCUUUUGGGAUAUCCCUAAAAGCAUGCCUGCUUCAGUGUCUAUGUUGUGUUGUUCCAGCAAUGUCUGCACUGCGUUUGUGCAUUGCUGUGAACAUUUAUGCCUCAAGAUGUUUGGCCCUAUUCGGGCGUCGGUGAGGCAUUGGAUUUACAAGGCUUUGGUGCGACAAUCGGCUUAGUAAGGCAUUUGGGUUGCUUUUCGCUGUAGCUGUCACAUCCUGAAGCUUGUUGUCACAAUUUGAACUCUUAUUGUUGAGACAUGAAGUUAGGUUGGCAAACCCGCUGAAUUUAAGCAUAUAAGUAAGCGGAGGAUAAGAAACUAAAUGGGAUUCCCUUAGUAAUGGCGAAUGAAUCGGGAAAAGCUCAACAUUGAAAUUGUGGCCUCUGGCUUUGAAUUGUAAUCUCGCGAUGUGCUGCCAUCGGGGGCGCAGGUGCAAGCCGCUUGGAAAAGCGAGCCAUUGAGGGUGAGAGUCCUGUUUGUCAUCUGCAGAUCUCCGUGCACGGCAUGCUUUCUAAGAGUCACGUUCCUCGGGAUUGGAGCGCAAAUUGGGUGGUAAAUUUCAUCUUAAGCUAAAUAUGGGUUCGAAACCGAUAGCAAACAAGUACCGUGAGGGAAAGAUGAAAAGGACUUUGAAAAGAGAGUUAAAAGUGCCUGAACUCGCUGAAAGGAAAGCGGAUGGAACCAGGUGUGCUCUGUGAGAUUGUCAUGUGCUAUGGAAAUAUCUCGCUACAUAAAUGCAAGUGGUGCUGCGGGUUUUGAUCCUUAUGCAUGUGAUGCUUCUUGCUUUGUGUGUCACCAUUAGUUUGGAGGUGAGGACAACUCUUGGGACAUGGUAACUCGGCUCCGGCUGAUCGAAUAUGCCUUGGAGGACUCACUUGUAAACCGAAUGUGUAAUGUGAGGGCGUGCUGGUUCGCAUUGGAUGCACUUGUGCAUGCAAAAGCGGGUCACUCCCCUGACAUGUUAUCUGGUGACUAAAUGGUUCUAUUCGACCCGUCUUGAAACACGGACCAAGGAGUCUAACACAUGUGCAAGUUCAUGGGCUUUGAAACUUGUGUGCAUAAUGAAAGUGACAACUGAGAUGUUUGCAUCAGCAGCCGACCGAUCGAUUGGGAGAGGUUUGAGCAUGAGCAUAUUUGUUAGGACCCGAAAGAUGGUGAACUAUGCGUGA
rnacentral:rRNA from 1 species